CUUGUUUCUGAAUGAAAGCAGACUUCAGAGCAUUCAUCCCAAGGGGCUGAUCUCUCUGUGCUACACCUGCUUUCACCUCACCUGGAACCAUGAAGGAAAUGUCACCAAAACACCAGUGUGUAAAUUAAAAAUAAAUUAAUGGGUUACCCAAGAAAGCAUGGUAAUGUAGCACUGCUAAGGGGCUCCAGCUUCUUCCUGCUCAUAGGAAAGCAAAAGAAGUACCCACAAUUCAUAGGGAUUCACUUGCAUGGUUCAGAUGGACACAUUCCACUCUGCAGACUGUCCGCCAGAGGAGCGUUUAAGUGUUAUUCACUAUGUACUAUUAGUGGUAAACAGGAUCAUGCAGAAGGUGUCCUAGCAUGGGAGUAACUUAUCUCUAGAAGGAAGAUGUAUAACCAGACCCAUCCUGCAACACAAACCCUAGCUGGUCGACAGAGAGGUGGUAUCCUGAAAUAAAAUAUCUUCAUUUCUCUGUACAUCAAAGCUCAUCAGUACGAAUCAAUUUCCACUCACAAAGCUGGAAAUCAAACUGAAAAUCCUAAAAGAUUUUGGAGCAUUUAGAAUUUUCAAAGUAUUUGAAUGGACUUUCAGCAUAGUGUGCUGCUAAUGCAAGCUUCUUUUUACUGGAGAAAUAGGAUGACUUUUGAUCAUCAUGGUGUAGUAAGCUGUGCCAAUUUGAAAAAGCAGCAAAACCACUUUUCAAGCAGAGACUAAAGAGUGCAAAGUAUGAUGUUUGUUGAUACUUUUCCAAAAUCAAAAUCAAAUCGUGAAAAUUUUGGUUCUGCAAAAUGGAAUUUGCAUUUAUGGAGUUAAACUAGUCAGGGCAUAGACACUGUCCCUCAGAGCAGAAAAUAUUUCAUCAUUUGAAAGCUUUCCUAGGAAAUUUUCCAAGACUCCAAGUGGAACAUCAACUGAUAUUGUCAAUAUUGGCAAUGUUUCAGAUAGUCUGACAUGAGAUGUUUGCCAUGCUAGAAAAACCUUACAAAUGUUGGCCUGUUAGGGUCUGCUGAGUUUUGUUUAAAAAUGGAAGCCAACAUAGAAAUAUUUAAAUGAUUAGAAAUAUCCCUGGAUUUCAAAAGGUUGUACUAUAAGAGAGAGUUUGUAGUAUAGUAUUUCCUCAAUGGCACUGCUAUUUCUGAUAAAUGUGUAUGUGAAGCAGCCCAUCAGCUCAGCGAAUCCUAGCCUGGCUUGAAAUGCUUGCGCUGCUGGAAGGACUGUGUGCCCACAAGUGAUCUCACAGGGCACUGCAAUGAGGCAAAGCACUCAGCCCUGGGGAAAAAAAAAAAAAAAAAAAAAAAGAAAAAAAAAAACUAAUAAUAAUAAAAAAAUACAUUAACCAGGUCUGACUGUGCUUCCUUCCUUGCCUUGUAGAAUAUACAAUAUUUAUGAAUAAGCUUUAUAAAUUAGUAUCUGAGAGGUUUCUGUGCUAGUUAGAGCUUCACAGCCUUAUUCUGGAUGAUUCAUUCAUUGAGUCAGGCAGCCAUGCAUGCAGUCAUUCAUAAGUAAUGCCGUACUUCCCUUCAGCAUGCAACAAUGCUUUACCUCCCCAGUGCCUUUCAGUGUUUGUUCAGCAAACACGUUAAGCUAAAGAGUUCCUAUUUCAAGCUUUACCAUUAUUUUUAAAGAAACAGUGUUACCUGUAUGUGUACAGGGUGCUGUACAGAGAGCCAAACAGCAAUAUCAGUAGCAAAUGGUUGCAACAUUUUGUUUGACCCGGAGUAUACCCCAGAAAUUUUCUGACUUCAUCCAUCCAUAAGAGGAGGCUUGUACUGACAAGCAAGACUUCAGCUCCUUUUACAUUCAUGCUACUUUAACAACAUUCCCAUUUUAACAUUCACCUGGACUCCUUGAGGAGGGCUGUCAGCUCCUCCUAGCCUCAUAAAACCUGAAGCACCAGGAUUCAGUCUUUUGUUAUCAGCAUUUUUCAUUUUUUAAUUUUAUUUUUUAUUAUUAUUAUUUUUUUGCUAAUUUCAGCAGUGGACAGGGAAAAAAAAAUACAGAAAAUCACAGACCAAGGAAGAACAUUUGACCUGUGUGUUUUUAAGGAGCUAUGAAAUAUUAAGAUCUGGCCAGAGCUGCAGAUUAGGCAAUAACAUUUGUUUGAUUUCUGUAAAAUCAUAGAAUAUUGGAUUGGCCUCAUCCAACUUUACACAAAUAAAAGGAAGGCACUUAGUCUAAACUAACCAUUUUAUUACACACACACACGCACACACACACGCAGAGGGGAGAGACAGAAUAAGUUUACAUGAAAUGAAAACACUGUGUGACACUGCAUAGAAGAUUGUUUAGUCUUCUGGUAACAGGUAAUUUCUGCCUAUAGUGGAAUAACAAGAUCAGCAUAAGUAAAUAUCAAUAAAUACACAGCUCAUUGCAACUGACACAACUAACAAAAUCUAGAGUACAGACACACUUGUGAAGAAAAUGAUUAUGCAGCAUGGGUGCCUACUCCUCAUUUUGGGAGGAGAAAAUAUUUUUUUUCCUCAUUUCUAAAUAGACUUCUGAGCUGAACAAGUUCCAGUUGAGAAAGUUGGCCUUAAACAUUGUUCUAUUUCAUGUAAAUCCACAGGAAAAAAGGAACUGAAAGUUAAAAAUAUUGCUGGGUGUGACAUGUUUGUACAUCCCAGACAUCUGGGGUAUCACAAUUAGAAACUCUUUGUGGACAUAUUUUCAUUAGUCAUAAAAAGACAAGUCAUUUUUUCCUGUUUUUUCAAGAUUUCAAAGCUCUGCAUUGUAUCCCUAAACAUAAGUCAUUAAAUUAUGUUUCAAGCUUAAGGAAUUUCAUGCUUUGAAAUUCUUUUGAAGUUGGCAGAUGAUUUUAUUUUUCUGCUUUGCCUUUUUUUUUUUUUUAAUUUUUGUUCUUACAGAAGGAGCUUCAGUUUAUCUUCCAUUAUUGUUCUCUUUCAUAGCUCAUCAAAGGACACCCUUAUGAAAAGGCACUGUGAAGCCACAUGUAGAAGCUGCAGUGACACUUACUGGAGAAGGCUGAGCUGAUUACUUUCUGCUUCAUGGGCUGCUGAGAUUCCAGGCAACAGGUUCUUUAAUAUCUUCUGCUGAUCCGAAAGAUGCCACAAUUUGUCAACAUUAGCAGCUUCUGUUAAACCGAAAUGUUCUGUAGAGUAUGUCCAGUUUCAUCAAAGUUUGGAACAGAACAGAGAUGGAUUUCAAAACACAUAGGUUUCCAUCAAGAAUGUGUAUGGUUUUCUACUCCUUCCAGUCUCGCAGCUCCUUGGCAGCAAAAAGCUCCUAAGAUCCACCAGUCUGUUAUGGGACUGGAGCUCCUCUUGCCAUCAGAAAUGAUUUUGGCACUUUGUAGUCCCCAUUCCACAGCAGAUAAGAAACAAGAGUCAAAGUGCUGAAAUUGUUUGUGCAAUGACUUUAACUUUUUCCACACAGCUCUAGACAAAUACUAUAUGGGUAACUAUAUUAACUGCAGAACUGCUGUUCCAGUGGCCCAUAAAAUCAAUUCCAUGCAACAUAUUCAAGUUUUAGCCACAUACCAGACUCCUCUCUCUUUUUCUCUCUUCAUCUAUACCUAAGUACUCUCAGCAGCAGGCAGCAAGGAGUCUCUCAAUAGAGGCAUACGUUAGCCUGCGGCCUGACUGUCCUCGAGGGAGAAGUACUUUCCCCAUCCUAGAGUAAUUGUUUUUAAUUGCAAAACAUCCUCUGCCUAAAUAAAAAUAAGACUCCCCUUAGCAGACUCAGACAGGCCAAAGAUUAUUUAUUUUUUGCAACACCAUUACACAUAGGAACUCAGUCAUGAAUCAGAAUCCCAAGGGCCAUCUUGCUACUUAUAAAUGAAUCUAAAUAUACUGUUUUGUAUCCUUCCAUUUCUGCUUAAUUUUUUUUAAUUAGUGGGUCAUUGAAUUAGAGAAAUGGGUGCAGACUGCAAAGAGCACUGGAAAGCCAUUUCUUGCAAAGUGCUUGUCUUCUAUUAAUGUGGUACUUGUCCCAUUGAGUGUGUUUGAGCAAUAUGCACAGCAUUAGUUUCUGAAAGCAGAAAAAAAUGAAUAGAAGAAACAUUUCAAAUGGCUGAGAAGCUUUCAGAGGGCAGAGGGGAAUAAAUUAAUAAAUAAAUAAAUAAAGAAUAUGUCACCUGGAAAUUACAAAAUGUAUUAUACUGUGUAACCUUUCUGAAUGCAAAAGUUUAUGUUCUUGCCGGGCCCAAUUCUUAUUUUGGCUUUGUUUUCGGUAUCUCUGAUAAACUUUCAGAACAAAUGUUGAGAGUAUAUUUUGUGAUGUAUCAGAUCACAGUGACCCAACCUUUUCUUGCAGCUCUUUGCAUAUUUCUGAAAGGUAACUCAGAACAAAAUAGCAACAAGGCAAUGUGUCCCUGCAAAUAUAAUGAAGACUUUUUCUCCUCAGUUCCAAAUCUACCAUCUCUGUCAGGUGCACACCAGAAAGUUUCUUCCACAUUCUGUUUAAUGGUAUACCUACCCCAACAGAAAAAUCUCAUUCCAAACAGUCAUUACCUCCAGAAAAAGGCAUUGGUCACUGUAUAUUUUCCUUGCAAUCUAAAUGCUUAUAAAAUCAGUCCAGUAGGUCUCUAAAGUCCGUCUGUAAGGGCACCAUCUGAUGACUCACACUCAUGUUACAGAUGAGAACUAAGAUGGAACAGAAUCAGCAACUCACUGCAUCUUUGCUGAGUUGGCAGAAAUCUCAGAAACCAUAGCUCUGGAUAUGAGAAAACAAAAGAAAGAAAAGGCAGAGUAAAUCUCCCUAUUUGCCAGAGAACCAAGUCCACUUAGCUUUGAGGAGUUACUUGCUGUAUGCCUUCUUAAACAGGAGUUUAAAAUGUAUUUUAAAGAAUAAAGGGUAAACUCAG